AUGCUGGGACCGCGUCUUCCAGAGUCUUUCAUCCCCCGGCUGGACCAUCGGCACUCAGGCUUGCUGGACCCUGGACAGCUGCUGGACUCAGCCUCUCCUGUAUGCAAGUCCACAGGAAGCCCUUUCCAGGGCCCGGGCCUGGGUGGGGUCCCCAUUCUGCCCGCCGUGGCUGGGUGCUGGUCGGGACCUGGGCACCCAUGUGUCCUUGCCUCUGUGGUGCUGCCCGUCUCCUGGUCGUCGCAGUCUUGCCUGACUGCAGCUCCUGCAACCCAGGGCAUCUUCCCCCCUGCCUUGUCCAUGCAGGCCCUCGAGGCAGAGGGAGGCGCCCCCAAAGCUCAGCCUGGGCCACAGGAGGCACCGGAGCCACCCCCAGGGGCCCCUCAGACACAGCCCAGAGCCUGCUGGCCCGGGAAGAGGCCCCCGACUCGCAUGGGUGGCUGCGCUCGCGGCUCCCAGGGGCCAGGCCUUGGACGCCCGGGAGCAGAUGGUCCUCCGGUUGCCCGGGAAGCACGUGUGGCUGAAGGAAGCACAUGCCAAGCUGGACUAGAUGGUGGCGGGAUCCCCACAGAGGAACCCCUGGAAGUGGAGAGCGGGCCGCCUGGGGCGCAGAGGACAGAGGCCUGUCAGCAGGAGGACAGCAGCAGCCCCCUGGCCGCCUCCCCAGCAGCUCCUGCAGCCCUGGAGGAGGAGGCAAGAAUGCUUGUGUACCUGGGCUCCGGGCCUGCAGCUGGGCUCCCCUUGGGGUCUGCAGGGUCCCCAGCGUCGUCCCCCAUGUCCUCAGCAGGCUCUGCGUGUGACUUGUCCUGCUCCUCCCUCCAGGAGUUUCAGAAAGCCACAGCCACCCUGGUCCAGCUUUCUGACGGCUCCCUCUCCCUGUCUGGCCCCGAGGCCGAGGGCAGCCGGGCCACAGAGCCCAGCUGGUCCGAGGAGCUGUCUGCUCACGAGGACUUUGCCCCACCCUUGUUUUGGGGGCUCCACCAGGGUGACCCUCAGCCGGGUGCUGUUCCUGGGGGUGCAGGGCCGGUGACCUGGCAGAGACCAGAAUGUGGCCAGGCUGGUGCCCUGCCUGGCUGUCCAGUGGAGGCAGCAGUGGCAGACGACUUAGUCCCAGAGCAGAGCUCCUCACAGGCCAGCUGCCCACUGCCUGCCCAAGAUGUUCGUUCUCCAAGGUCUGGGUCAGAGCUGUCAGAGGCCUCCAGCCAAAUUUGGGACGAGGACAUUGAAGAGAACCUGUCAGAACCUGGCCCGGGGGCUGAGCCCACCUCUGGCAGCUCCUCGCCUCCUGGCUUGUCCAGCUUGGAACACAGCAUGGCUGUACCUGCCUUGGGCCCCAGACAGGGACAGGAACCUUCUGGAACCAGCCGGAGCCUGAGCGGGACUUCUGCUUCUGAAGGGGCUGGCUGCCAGGAGCGGCCCCAGGCUGCUGGCCCAAGCCUGUGCUCUGAAAGGAGCCCUCCACAGGCCUCUUCAGGGCCUGAGACAGUGAUGGGGAUGAGGCCCAGCCCUGCUCCGAAGACUUCCCUUCCCCUCCCCAGGAGGCCAUGGUUCCCCAAGACUCGCUGGGCCCGCUGGAGGAAGACACUUCCAUCACCACUGAGGACGUGUCCCUGUCAGAGGAGGCCCCGAGGCAGGCUCUGUCACUGGGUCCCCAGCAGUCGGGGCUCUGCCUGGGGCUGCCUGGGCCAUGGGGAGGCCCUGAGGCGAUCUGUCUUUCUGCACCCGGCUCAUCUCGGACCCCCUGCAUAAAAACCCACCCUGCACUCAGCCUUUGCGAGCUACAUCCCCAGUCGUCCUUGGAUUCCGUUCCCUGCACAGCUCUGACUGCCACUCGAUAGCCACAUAUGGAAAGUGACAGCCGGGCGCUGCUGGGGAACACGGGGGCACUGGCUCCAACGUACCUCCCACGCCCACACCUGGGUGUUUGGUUGCCGGGGCAGGGAGCUGGCGGAGCUCACGCCCCUUCCGGGUGGAGCUGGUCCUAUGCCCGGGAUUUCCUGCCCAAACCAAGGGCUCAGGAAGUCAGCCCUUCCCACGCCAGCACCUCCAGUGGCUUCGGAGACUCCAAGAAACGUACCCAGGUUCCCAUCAGUCUCCGAGGCCCUUCCUUUGCCCGCUCCAUGGCAACCACGCCUCUCAAACUGCUUCUCUGCACUUGUCCCCCGACCCAUGUCUCCCUUUGCCCCAAGCCGAGGCCCCUCCCGACGUCCAAGAACACAGCAGGCUGGGCUGGGGGGAAGCACAGGGUGUCCCACAGCGGCCCUCUGCCUGCUGCUUGACGCCACCCUCUGCUCAGUGGCCUGGGGGGGCUUCCCGCUCAUCCUGCCUGGCCUCCACCUCGGGGCCUUGCACUUGGGCUGCCCCUCACCUCUUCCUCUGCUCCCUUCUCUCCAGGACUGCGGGCUUUCACACCUUGUUGUAGGCCCAGAGGGACAGGCUUGCUUUCUCCUCGCCUUGUUUCCAGGCCUCGGCACAGGGCAGGAAAGCGGUGAGCGCAGGAGGGGCAGGGACAGAGCGCAGGGCUCCUCCGUGGGUCACCUCCCCCAGCACCUCACGCGAGCGCUUCCCUCAGCGAACGAAGGGCAUCCCUGGCCUCAGCAACAGGCCCCGUCAGCGAGGCCAAGGGCCCUGACCUGAGGGUCCUUUCUUUCUUGUUUUGGCCACAGCGUUGAACCCUGACGUGUGUAAAAUCAGGACCAGCAAUCAAAACACCAGGGACCCUGCGCACGAGAGCACAAGCCACAGGGCUGCGCCUCUGGUCUGUGGGAGACAAGGACCUUGCAGCUGGUUACAGGGAUUUCAGGCAAACUGAGAAGUGGACUAAGAACCUCCCAUUAAAUUUACAUUUCAGACUUAGGUGCCACCAGCUCGCUGUUUGUCCAGACUUCACAUCUAACCUAGUGUGUCGUUUUCCGUUUGCUAAACCUGGCGGUCAGGGCCCUGGAA
rnacentral:lncRNA from 1 species